CUCACACCGCUCCCCCACAAGGGACACACAAUCAAUCCCUGCGCAACAGCGACACCCAGUGGCCUGUCAGGGCUGCUACCACAUUUACAUGAAUGGUGACCAAACCGUUUGAGACCCACUGAGAUAACUCAGACUAAAGUUAACUCUCUAAACUCUGGGAGAGUCCUGUACCUCACUGAGCUGUAGUUAUCUGAGCCUCUCAAUCUGACAGGAGAGGACUCUCCUCGACCUUGUUCUAGAAACAGAUCCUUAUAUCCGUUAGCGCAGCUAGCUCCAGAUGCUAACAACAACAAUUCAAUUCAUUCACGAGAGCACAUGUGAUGCAUUCAGCCUCUGCAGUCUCUCUGCAGGACACACCCCGGAAGUAUCAUCGUGCAACACCUGGCAUAGAAGCAGCGUGAUGGCGCCGGUGUGGAUACACUUGUGGGCGUUUUACCUUCACUGCUAACAGCCUGCACAUUCUGCUAUCCCGUCAGCGUUGGUGAGUGCAGAGUUUCUGGACCAAACCUGAGGACAGCCGGGUUUCUUCACAUCAUCCUCGUCCUCUUCUUCCUCCACUCGUGGUAAAGUAUGAUAUUUAAAAGUCUUGGUAAGCGCACACUUUUAAAUGUCAGCAGAAAGUCCUAGGAUAGUAAAAGCUUUAGAAAUACCAUAAUAGUUUACCAUGCCAUUAGUAAUCUGAUAUAGUGUCGGAAAAAGUCAUAAAUAUAGCAAAUAGAAAACCAUCAUAAAAAGUCAUUAAAGGCUCACAAUUAUUUCAUUGAAGUGUAAAAAAAAAAAGAUUUAAUUUUUGGUAAA